UUAAAUGAAUCUAAAUAUUAGAGUAUCACUGUUAAUGAUAUAUUAGAGAAUAAAUUCUCCUUUUAA
rnacentral:tRNA from 1 species